rnacentral:rRNA from 1 species
UGCAAGUCGAACGAAGUAGCAAUACUUAGUGGCAGACGGGUGAGUAACAUGUGGGUAUCUGCCCUUUGGCCUGGAAUAACACGAGGAAACUUGUGCUAAUACUAGAUAAGUCUUUACGGAGAAAGCUUUAUGCACCAUUGGAUGAGCCCGCACUUGAUUAGUUAGUUGGUGGGGUAAUGGCCUACCAAGACUGUGAUCAAUAGCUGAUUUGAGAGGAUGAUCAGCCACAUUGGGACUGAGACACGGCCCAAACUCCUACGGGAGGCAGCAGUGGGGAAUCUUGCACAAUGGAGGAAACUCUGAUGCAGCGAUGCCGCGUGAGUGAAGAAGGCCUUUGGAUUGUAAAGCUCUUUCGUCGGGGAAGAAAAUGACUGUACCCGAAUAAGAAGGUCCGGCUAACUUCGUGCCAGCAGCCGCGGUAAUACGAAGGGACCUAGCGUAGUUCGGAAUUACUGGGCUUAAAGAGUUCGUAGGUGGUUGAAAAAGUUGGUGGUGAAAUCCCAGAGCUUAACUCUGGAACUGCCAUCAAAACUUUUCAGCUAGAGUAUGAUAGAGGAAAGCAGAAUUUCUAGUGUAGAGGUGAAAUUCGUAGAUAUUAGAAAGAAUACCAAUUGCGAAGGCAGCUUUCUGGAUCAUUACUGACACUGAGGAACGAAAGCAUGGGUAGCGAAGAGGAUUAGAUACCCUCGUAGUCCAUGCCGUAAACGAUGUGUGUUAGACGUUGGAAAUUUAUUUUCAGUGUCGCAGCGAAAGCGAUAAACACACCGCCUGGGGAGUACGACCGCAAGGUUAAAACUCAAAUGAAUUGACGGGGACCCGCACAAGUAGUGGAGCAUGUGGUUUAAUUCGAAGAUACGCGCAGAACCUUACCAACACUUGACAUGUUCGUCGCGACUUUAAGAGAUUAAAGUUUUCGGUUCGGCCGGACGAAACACAGGUGCUGCAUGGCUGUCGUCAGCUCGUGUCGUGAGAUGU